UUUGCCGAGAGGAGAGAAAUCGUUGUUCUCUCUCCCGUUCCAUCCGAUGAGGAGAGAAUUCAUAAUCUCUCUCCAAAUCCAUUUGUUGAGAGAUAAUCGAUCGGCUCUUCGUAUCUCUCUCCCCCAGGUUCCAUGAUUUGUUGAGAAAUCAUUGCCCCGCGCAAAAAUUAACGGCAUUGCAAAAUGGAUCAUGACAUCAGUUCUUCUCAUCGCCAAGGACCUCCUAGGCCAUUGACACCUCCAUCCACGAACGAGGAGGAGCGUCCUGCGCCUACCCAAUCCUGCUUCAUAUUAGGAUUGUAAGAUGAUUAACGCUGCCAUGCCAUAAUUAAUUAGUUUCAGCCUGAAUUGCUACGAAGAUACAUGUUAGAGACAUUAUCCACCGAUCAUGACAGUUUCAUGUGUGAUGUUGCAGCUUCACCGCGCUAUGUUGUUGCUGCCUGGUUGAAGAGACGCUCAUGUGACAUGCAUGGUUAUCUUGCCUGUUCUGUCGUGUUUUGUAUAUACUGGAAAUUAACUUAUUAUCAAAGUCUCAGUGCCUCUGACAUGUGAAAUGCUACUUUUCAUUC